GACGAACGCUGGCGGCGUGCUUAACACAUGCAAGUCGAACGGAAAGGCCCUGCUUGCAGGGUACUCGAGUGGCGAACGGGUGAGUAACACGUGGGUGAUCUGCCCUGCACUUCGGGAUAAGCCUGGGAAACUGGGUCUAAUACCGGAUAGGAGCCAUUUUUAGUGUGAUGGUUGGAAAGUUUUUUCGGUGUAGGAUGAGCUCGCGGCCUAUCAGCUUGUUGGUGGGGUAAUGGCCUACCAAGGCGGCGACGGGUAGCCGGCCUGAGAGGGUGGACGGCCACAUUGGGACUGAGAUACGGCCCAGACUCCUACGGGAGGCAGCAGUGGGGAAUAUUGCACAAUGGGCGCAAGCCUGAUGCAGCGACGCCGCGUGGGGGAUGACGGCCUUCGGGUUGUAAACUCCUUUCGCUAGGGACGAAGCUUUUUGUGACGGUACCUAGAUAAGAAGCACCGGAUAACUACGUG
rnacentral:rRNA from 1 species